CGGCAUUUGUUUUCUGUUACGCUUCGUCGGCUCGGCAGUCGCGCCCAGCUUCGUGCUCUACUCUAAACACUGUGCCAGUCGGUCCUGCACGAAGAGUGCUGCCAGCCUGCUGCUUCUUCUUAUUUCAGUUUCUGUGUGCUGAGCGCGUCGACGCUGACGCCGCCGACGACGCCAACGUAGGCGCUGCUGCUGUUACUACUGCUGCUGCUGCUGCUGCCCGAGUCACAAGUCCGAGUCCGUGUCCGUGUCGAGUUGAGUGCAGACGUUUUGUCCUCGUGAACGCUGUGUGCAAAAAAGAAAAAAAAAAGAAAAGAAAAGAAAAACAGAAAAAAUAAAGCAAAAAAGAAAAGAAAAUAGUUCAAAGCGAGCCAUAGAUACAUUUUCCACUUCUUCUCUGGUAUGGCCAAGAGCAAACACAGUUUAAAUAAAAGCCAACAGAAAUAUGCCAAAUUCCGCACAAUUGUUGAACUAUUAGAAACUUAACGAAAGAAAUUAAACAAUAAGGAAAGACACACAACUUAAUUGGAAAUCGUAGUAAAAAUGUCAAAGGCUAAAGCUAAAGGCAAAUUAAAUAAACGAACAAUUCCCAAAUCCAAGCAUCUAAAAUGAGACAAUUCAACUGCAACAACAGCAACAACAACAAUAACAACAACAGCGGCAGCAGACGCAGCUUAAAGGUCGAGGACAAUAAAGGUGCAGUGCGAAUAUAGCAAUAAGCAGGACACUUAACCAAAAUAAACAACAAACAAAACAAAAAAAGAAGGCUAUGGAAUGGAGCAUCUAUUUGGAUGACGAAUUGAAAGAGCGACAAAGCGACAGAAAUAGAAAAAUGAACAGCAUACUGAGCUAGAGUCGAGUCAACGCAGCAGCCGCAAAGCGAAUGAGAGA